rnacentral:misc_RNA from 1 species
UCGCGGCUUAUCACCGGCAGUCCCCCUAGAGUGCCCAACUAAAUGAUGGCAACUAAGGGCGAGGGUUGCGCUCGUUGCGGGACUUAACCCAACAUCUCACGACACGAGCUGACGACAGCCAUGCAGCACCUGUGUUCCCGCCAGCCGAACUGAAGAGCUCCAUCUCUGGUGCUCAUACGGGACAUGUCAAAGGUUGGUAAGGUUCUGCGCGUUGCUUCGAAUUGAACCACAUGCUCCACCGCUUGUGGUUUAAUUCGACGCGACGCG